AUGGCGACGCCGGCGGUUGCAUCGGUGGCUCUACUCCUGCUCUCCUGUGUAGCGGCCGCGGCGGGCACCGACCGGGACGCGCUGCUGGCGUUCAAGGCCGGCGUGACGCAGGAUCCGACGGGCGCGCUCCGGUCGUGGAGCAACGGCACGGGCAUCUGCCGGUGGGCCGGGGUGAACUGCAGCGCCGCGGGGCGCGUCACGACGCUGGACGUCGGCUCGCGCCGCCUCGCCGGCACGCUCUCCCCGGCCGUCGCGGACCUCGCGCACCUCGAGGUUCUCAACCUCACCGACAACGCCUUCACGGGAGCCAUUCCGGCUAGCCUUGGCCGGCUCGGGCGUCUGUACUUCCUCAGCCUCUGCGACAACGCCUUCACCGGCGAGAUCCCGGCCGCGCUCCGCGGCCUCACGAACCUCACCACCGCGUACCUCAACAACAACAACCUCACCGGCGGCGUCCCAGCCUGGCUCGGCGCCAUGCCGAUGCUCAUGGCGCUGACGCUCAGCACGAACUCGCUCUCCGGCCGCAUCCCGUCGUCGCUCGCCAAUCUCACGACGAUCCGGCAGCUGGAGCUCCGCGAGAACCUCCUCGAAGGCGAAAUCCCUGAGGGCCUCGCUCGCCUCCCGAUGCUCCAGAAAUUCAGCGUGUACCAGAACCACCUCUCCGGCGAGAUCCCGCCGGGGUUCUUCAACAUGUCGUCGCUGCAGGGCCUCGCCCUCGCCAACAACGCGUUCCACGGGGAGCUCCCGCCCGAUGCCGGCACGCACCUGCCAAACCUCAUGUACCUCUUCCUUGGCGGCAACAACCUCACGGGGCCCAUCCCGGCGACGCUCGCCAACGCCACCCAGCUGCAGUUCCUCAGCUUGUCCAACAACAGCUUCACCGGCCAGGUGCCGCCGGAGAUCGGCAAGCUCUGCCCGCAGUCGCUGCAGCUGUCCAACAACCAGCUCACGGCGACCGACGCCGGCGGCUGGGAGUUCCUGGACAACCUGACGAGCUGCGACGCCCUGGCCGAAAUAUUCCUCGGCGGCAACAAGUUUUCCGGCGCCAUGCCGAGCUCCAUCGCGCGCCUCUCGACGCUCCAGGCGUUGAGUUUGUCGGGCAAUCGCAUCUCCGGCGUUAUACCGCCGGGCAUAGGCAACCUCGUCGGGCUACAGAUGCUGGACCUCCGGCAUAAUCUCUUCGCCGGCGCGAUCCCGGAGGGGAUUGGCAAGCUGGAGAACCUCCAAGAGCUGCAGUUGCAGGGGAACGAGCUGACCGGGCCGGUGCCAUCCACCAUCGGCGACCUCACGCAGCUGCUUAGCCUCGACCUCAGCGACAACUCGUUGAACGGGUCGAUCCCUCCCAGCCUCGGCAACCUUCAGCGCCUUAUGCUGCUCAACCUCUCCGGCAAUGGGCUCGCCGGCCAUGUCCCGAGGGAACUGUUCGGCCUCUCGUCCUUGUCGUCGGCGAUGGACUUUUCGCGUAACCAGCUGGACGGCGUUCUCCCGCGAGAGGUAGGACAGCUUGUGAAACUCACGUUCAUGGCGCUCUCCGGGAACCGCUUCAUCGGCGACGUGCCGGCGGAGCUCGGGAGCUGCCAGAGCCUGGAGUUCCUCGACCUGGACAGCAAUUUGUUCGACGGAAGCAUCCCGCCGUUGUUGAGCAGGUUGAAGGGGCUCAGGAUGCUGAACCUGUCGAGCAACAGGUUAUCCGGGGCCAUCCCGCCGGAGCUCGGCCAGAUGACGGGGCUGCAGAAGCUGGACCUCUCGCGGAACGAACUGUCCGGCGACAUGCCGGCGGGAUUGGAGAACAUGAGCUCCCUGAUCGUGCUCGACGUGUCCGGCAACAACCUCGUCGGCAACGUCCCUCAGCGUGGCGUGUUCGCGAACGCGACCGGGUUCAAGAUGGCCGGUAACAGCGCGCUUUGCGGCGGCGCCACGCAGCUCCGGCUGCCGCCGUGCCGACCACUCGCGGAUUCCACCAGAGGCUCUCACCUGUUCCUCAAGGUCGCGCUGCCCAUCAUAGGGGCCGCUCUGUGCAUCGCCGUACUGUUCACCGUCCUCCUGUGGCGGCGCAAGAGGAAGUCGAGGACCACGAGCACGGCGACGCGCAGCGUGCUCAACGGCAACUACUACCCGAGGGUGUCCUACGCCGAGCUGGCGAAAGCCACCGACGGUUUCGCGGAGGCGAACCUCGUCGGCGCCGGGAAGUACGGGUCCGUGUACCGCGGCACCCUGGCACUGAAGACGAAAGGAAAGCUGGCGCACGAGGCCAUGCCCGUGGCGGUGAAGGUGCUCGACCUCGGGCAAGCCGGGGCGUGCAAGACGUUCCUGUCGGAGUGCGAGACCCUGCGGAGCGCGCGGCACCGGAACCUGAUCGGCAUCGUCACCUGCUGCGCCAGCGUGGACGCGGCCGGCGGCGAGUUCAGGGCACUCGUGUUCGAUUUCAUGCCCAACUCCAGCCUUGACCGGUGGCUGCACCCGGGUCGCACGGACGCACGCAAGCGUGGCGGCCUGAGCCUGGUCCAGAGGCUGCGCAUCGCCGUGGACAUCGCCGACGCGCUGAGCUACCUCCACAACAGCUGCGACCCGCCGAUCGUGCACUGCGACCUCAAGCCGGGCAACGUGCUCCUCGGCGACGACAUGACGGCCCGCAUCGGCGACUUCGGCCUCGCCAAGCUGCUGCUCCUCAACGCCGCCGGAGGCACCGAGAGCACAAUCGGCAUCAGGGGCACCAUCGGCUACGUCGCGCCGGAGUACGGCACGACGGGGAGCGUGUCCACGGCCGGCGACGCGUACAGCUACGGGGUGACCCUCCUGGAGAUCCUGGCCGGGAAGGCGCCGACCGACCGCGGGCUCGGGGACGGCACGACGCUGCCGGAGUUCGUGGCGGCGGCGUUCCCGGAGAGGAUCGAGCAGGUGGUCGACCCGGCCCUGCUGCCGAUGGAGGAGCUGGACAGAUCAGUCUCUGUUUCGGCUUCGAUGUCGACCAUGUCGACGGUGUCGACGUCGUACUCGGAGGACAGCGAGGUGCGCGUCACGGCGCGGGACUGCGUGGUCGCCGCCGUGAGGGUCGCGCUGAGCUGCUGCCGGCGGGCGCCGUACGAGAGGAUGGGCAUGAAGGAGGCCGCCGCCGAGAUGCACCUCAUCAGAGACGCCUGCCUUCGCGCGUGCGGUGCAAAGAAGCCUGUGGUUUAG
rnacentral:rRNA from 1 species